UAGAGAAUGGGACAGAGGCCUGGGA
rnacentral:piRNA from 1 species